UCGUGAAAAGGGAAACAACCCAGACCGCCAGCUAAGGUCCCAAAGUUGUGGUUAAGUGGUAAACGAUGUGGGAAGGCUUAGACAGCUAGGAGGUUGGCUUAGAAGCAGCCACCCUUUAAAGAAAGCGUAAUAGCUCACUAGUCGAGUCGGCCUGCGCGGAAGAUGUAACGGGGCUCAAACCACACACCGAAGCUGCGGGUGUCACGCAAGUGACGCGGUAGAGGAGCGUUCUGUAAGCCUGUGAAGGUGAGUUGAGAAGCUUGCUGGAGGUAUCAGAAGUGCGAAUGCUGACAUGAGUAACGACAAUGGGUGUGAAAA
rnacentral:rRNA from 1 species